GAUGAACGCUAGCUACAGGCUUAACACAUGCAAGUCGAGGGGAAACGCUGAGAGAGCUUGCUCUCUUAGGCGUCGACCGGCGCACGGGUGAGUAACGCGUAUCCAACCUACCCAUUACAGGGGGAUAACCUUGCGAAAGUAAGACUAAUACCCCAUGGCAUUUUAUGGUGGCAUCAUUAUAGGAUUAAAGAUUUAUUGGUAAUGGAUGGGGAUGCGUCUGAUUAGCUUGUUGGCGGGGUAACGGCCCACCAAGGCAACGAUCAGUAGGGGUUCUGAGAGGAAGGUCCCCCACAUUGGAACUGAGACACGGUCCAAACUCCUACGGGAGGCAGCAGUGAGGAAUAGUGGUCAAUGGGCGAGAGCUUGAACCAGCCAAGUAGCGUGCAGGAGGACGGCCCUAUGGGUUGUAAACUGCUUUUAUAGGGGAAUAAAGUGAGCUACGUGUAGUUUAUUGCAUGUACCCUAUGAAUAAGGACCGGCUAAUUCCGUG
rnacentral:rRNA from 1 species